UUGGCUGUUUGGGCGGGGCUUAAAUGGCCAUGGUUUUUCUUUUUUUCACUAUUAACAUGUCUUUAAGCUAGUUAUACUAUUAAUCGGUACUCUGCACUCUUGCACUGGGCUCAGCCCUCUUAGUCUCUUUUGAUUUAUAACAAAAAAUCUUUCUUUAAAAAAAAUCUUAGCUCGGGAGAUUUCUUGCCGAGGGGGAUUGAGGAUGAAAGUGGUAAAAGCUAUAAAGUCUGAAACUUUGCAGAGGCAAGUUCUCUAAAAUUUGCAAGAGGACUUAAGCAGAGAACCUUUCAAGGACUGGAAGCUGUUGUUGGUCGGGAGAGAAGGCUUUCUGGCUAUGAAGCUGUGUGUAGUUGCCAGUUUCUCUAGUAAACCAAUCAGUGAUGAAAGAAAAAGGUUCUCAAGGGAGUCUUGUUCUAGGGCAAAGCCAUCAUAUCAAGCAAGCAAACCAAGUGAGCCGUACACACUUAUCCACGUCAGAUUCAAGGUCUGCUAAUCGAACAUUAUUUUCACAUGGUUUUGGUUCUGGUUUUGGGUAGGCUGGCUGCUUGUCCAGCGGGCUUAGAUUCUAAAUUUCAAAUUGGAUUUUAUAAUAUGUUAUAUAUUGAAUUAAUUCCUCCAAAUUAAUCUAUUUUCAUCCCCAAAUAUCUCUCAAAUAAUUCAAGCCCCCCAUUUGAUUACAAAGCCGGCUGGGCGGUGUGAAUAUUGACUCUGUAACUCAUGCCACUUAUUUUUUCUGACUGUAAUUAAUGUUGUAGGAUUUCAGUUGAUAUCAUAUUGUUUUAAACAAUCGUUGGUGCCUCUUCGCAUUUUCACAUAAUUAAUUUAUGAAUUUAAAAAGUUUUAUGGCUAAUAGUAUUUAUUACUUACACCCAUCUUGAUGAGAGACAUAAAAAAAAAUGAGACUUGUGAUUCAUAAAAAAUAAUAAGAAUAUUUUCAUCUAAUUUUUUUUUCUUGUAUUUAUUUUUAUUUAAAGUAAAUUGAGAUAAUAACUAAUAAGAUAUUGCUAAUUACUUAUUUAUCACCUUAAAUUUGGCUCACAAUACUCUUAGAUUCCAAGUAUAGGACAAUAAUGGGAUUCUUAUUAUUUUGGUUCUCACCAUUUUCAAGUAUUUGUUUAUGUUGCUAAAAAAGAAAUAAAAAAAUUAUCUAAGUAGACAUGUCGGUUUGGUUCCUGUUUCAUCAAAUAAAAAAAAAUAAUAAAAAAAAAAUAAAUAUAUAUAUAUAUAUAUAUAUAGAUUAGUCCUCGGUAAGAAAAAAAAGUUACGAGGAAUGGAAAGGAACCGACAAAUCACAUGGAAAGGAACACAGAGAAGGAGAAAUUGAAGUGGAAGACAGCAAGCACUAAGCAGAGUGUUAAAAAGUCAAAAGGACAAGUGCCCUUUGUGUUCCAAAUUCCAAAUCGAACUGAAUCACUUCACCGUACAUCAAGGGGAUGAUCGCGAAGGAAGGAAGGAAGGAAGGAAGGAAGCCUCGAUAACCUUGCCACAGUGUGGUCAGGGGCAGUACAGGACAGGACAACAAGGUCUUUGUUACUUUUCUUGAUAUGCUGUUCCUCCUAUCUCCCUUCUUCCUUGUAACAUGCAAAGAAUAUUUUUUUCUCAUUUAUAUGCUUUAGAAUUUCGAUGAAUUGAAUUUUUUUAAAAAAAUUAAUUUAUUAUUAUUAUUUAUUUUAUUUAAAAUAAUUUAUGAAAUUAAAAAAAUUAAUUUUAUAAAUAAUUUUAAAUAAAAUAAAUAAAAAUAAAAAUAAAGAUCAAAUCUGACAAAUAAAAAAAAUUAAAAAAGUAUUAAAUUGAAAAAAAAUUAAUUUUAUAAAUUAUUUCAAAUAAAAUAAAUAGCAAUCAAGGAAUAAAGAUCAAAUUUGAUAAAUAAAAAAAUAUAAUUAAAAAUAAUAAUAUAAAAAUAAAUAACAAUUAAAAUAAUAAAAAUUAAAAUUGAUAUAAAAUCAAAUUAAAAAAAUUAAAAAAUAAAAUAAAAAUCGAUUAAAUUUAAUAUAAUUAAAAAUUAAUAAGUAACAAGAUAUCUUUAAUUUUUUUAUAAAUUUUUAGAAUUACUUUCCGCUCUAAAUAAAUUUAUUUUUCUAAGAAUCAAGUCUAAAUUCCUUUUUAACUAAAAAGUGUUCUUGAUUGAUUUUGUUUUUUUGUUAAUAGUAAAGAAAUAAAAAAAAAAAACGUUUGUAAAGCGGUUUUCUAAAGUAACUUUCCUUGCGUUGAAAGCUUGGCUUGAAUGACAAUCCUUGCUAAAACAUCACGUGGCAAAUUCCACGUUGCCUCAUGAGCAAAAGGUCAGAGAAUGGCAUGAUAAGUGCAUAUCAUGCCAUUAUUGACUCCAUUUAAAAAAAAUUUAAAAGAUGCUUAGUAGAGUUGCCGUAAUCGGAAAUCUGUCUUGACUAGCCAGAGUGUUUUAAUAUAUCUGUUUUUAUUUUUUAAAAUAUUUUUUUAUUAAAAUAAUAUUUUUUUUAUUUUUUAAAUUUUAUUUUUAAUAUCAACACAUCAUAUCAAAAUAAUUUAAAAACAUAAAAAAUUAAUUUAAUUUUUUUUUAAUUUUAGCCAAAUUUUGUUUGGACUGGGAUCCCAAAUGGAGGCUACCAUGAAAAUGCUGUCUUGAUUAUCUAGAGUGUUUUAAUAUAUCUGUUAUUAUUUUUUUUAAGUAUUUUUUUUAUUAAAAAUAUAUUGUUUUAUUUUUUAAAAUUUAUUUUUAAUAUAAUCAUGUUAAAACAAUUCAAAAACAGAAAAAUAUUAAUUUUUUUUUUGAAUUUUAGUCGACCUUCAUUUGUGCUGCAAUCCCAAAUGGAGGCUGCCAUUAAAAUGCUCCAGUCAGGUGUUUGAAUCGAUUUUGUUCUGAAUUUUUUUAAAAAAAAUCAGUUUAAUUAUUUUUUUAAUUUAAAACUAAACCUAAAAUAAUCACCUGUAUCGUCCUGUUUAGCAACAAGAUAGCAAUUGCCAGUUGGCAAUGAGUUAAUGUGUUCAGGAAAGCUGAAAUGCCUAGACAAGAAAUUAGUAAUGAAAGAGACAUUGGUAAAGCUCCUUGGCCACCGAGGUUUUUGUUCGAAAGUCGAAACGAUGGCUGAGAAAGCGGUCCCGUGAAAAAACUAGAAACUAACUUUGGACAGCAUGGGUAGGUCCUGCCUAACUUCCCAACUCCUAUUUUAAGUUCGCACGUGGCAAGUAGGUGUCUGAUUAGUUGUAUUUAAUUUCCAUUUUCAUAGUUUAGGUUCAGCACUGCACCACUUUUUGACUACGUAACUUUAUUUUUUAAAGUUUUUAAAUAUGUUUAGUUUUAAAUUAAUUUUUUUUAGUGUUUUGAAUUUUUUUAUAGGUUGGUUUUGAAAAUAAAUUUUUUAAAAAAAUAAUAAAAUAUUAUUUUAAUAUAUUUCUAACAACAAAAAAAAAUUCAAAAAAUAAUCUCUGACACAUUUCUAAAUAGGCUAAUAACCACUUUGAUAUGUGUUGUUUAUUGUGUUUUAAAAAUAUUUUUAAAAAAAAUUGAUUUUUUUUUCUUCAACUUAAUAUUUUUAUGGUGUUUUCGUAUCAUUUUGAUGUGCUGAUGUUAAAAAUAAUUUUUUAAAAAAAACAUUAUUUUAAUGCAUUUAUGAGCGAAAAACAUUUUGAAAAAUAACCGCAACCACACUUUCAAACACUUCGAUAAUAUUAUAUAGUUUAUCAGUAUGGCUGUCCAGAAAUUUGUUUAAUGAAUUCCAAGCGAAGUUUAAAUUUCUCAUUUCAGAAUUUACAGCUAUGUAUUUGGCUUGGCAUGAGAAUCGAAAGGCUAUAUGUAUAUCCUCAUAAAGUUCAAUUAAUAUAUGGAGGGGGAACUACGUUCGGCAUCCUUCUAUUAUUAAAUUUUAAUUAAUUAAAUCCUUUUAUUGUUAAUAUGAUUAAAGGGAUCUCUCUACUAUAUAUUAUCUUCAUAUUCAAAUCUCUUAAUUUGAGAUACUAGUUAAGUUGACUACAUAUUAUAUUAUAAACGUGACACAUGUCCAAUAAGAAAAAAAAAACUGUUGGGUAUUAGAACUCAUUUUUCUUAAUUUCUAAAUUCUUAAUAAAAGAAGAAGACACUGAAAUAAUUUUUUUAUUAAUUUAUGCCGAAAUUUUAAAAAUAACAUAUAGCAAUAAAUUAAUUAAAAGUUGGAAAUUUUUAUUUUUAAAUUAUAUUUCCUAUAAAACUUUAUUCACAUGUUAUACUUCAUUAAUUUAAUUGGUUUUUUAAAUUAUAAAGAAUUAAAGAAUUAACCUAGCCUAACCUAGUUAAAACCUAAUUUAAUUUGCGACCCGGGAUAAAAUCUUAUCAAAACCUGAGUUAAAACCUAUUUAUUUAUCUUUUUAGUAAAAAUAAUAUUGUUUUGAAUUUUGAUGUUAUUUAAAACACAGCAGAUCAAACUUGAGGCUUUGCCUGGGCUGACCCUUAGAUCAGAUUUUAGAAUUAUUAUAUUAAUAUAAUAUGUACCCAUUAGUAGAAAGAAUUAACAUACACUAAAAGGAACAGUGAAAAACUAAGCACCUUUUCACUUUGGUCCUGAAAUUUUUUAAAAAAUAAUUUUAAAUUUAGUUUUUAUAUAUAUAUAUAUAAAAAAAUCAUUAUUCAACAUUAAUUUUAUUGGGCAUAGAGCUUCAUAUUUUGUUUUGAUUUAUUUUCUAUUGAAUUAUCUUGAUCUCAUGACUCAGAUCUCAAGUUUUAUUAUUUAUCUGUGUUGACUUGAGUUAUUUUUUUAUUUAUUUUUUUAAUAAUUUUUUUUUUCAAUUUCAUCAUUCAAUAUUAAGUUAAUUGAGAAUCAAACUUUAUAAUUUUUUCAAUUCACUUUUUAUGGAGUUAUCCCAGUCUUCUAAUUCAAGUUUGUCAGGUUAACCUGUGUUGGUUUAAGUUAUUUUUUUUAUCAUUUUUUUUAAUUUAAUCAUUCAAAAUUGAGUUGAUUAAGAAUUGAGAUUUAUAAUCUUUUUAUUUGCUUUCUAUGGGGUUAUCGUGAUAUUAUAACCUGAAUCGCGGAUUAGGUCAGUUAACUUUAGUUUUUUUUUUGUUUUUGUUAGUUGAUUUUUUAAAAUUUCAUUAUUUAAUACUGAGUUGAUUUGGGUUGACUUUAUAAUUUGUUUUGGUUUAUAUUCUACGAGGUUAUCCCAAUCACCUGACUGAGAUUAUUGGUUUGGUCGGUUGACUCGGAUGGUUUUCUAUUUUUUUUAGUUGAUUUUUUUAAAAAAAUUACUUUUAAACAUUUGGUUGAUCAAGAAUUAAGUUUCAUAAUUUGUUUCAACUUGCUUUUUAUGGGGUUAUAUCGAUCUCAUGACCCAUGUGUUGACAUGUUAAUUCAAGUUGAUUCAAUUCAAUUUUUUUAGUUAAAUUUUGUUUUCAAUUUCAUCUUUCAACAUUAGAUUGACAGAUAAUUAAGUUUAAUAAAAAAAAAAUUCUAUAGAGUUAACAGGGUAUCAUGAUCUAGAUAAUAGAUUUAACAGAAUAACCCGAAUUAAUCUGAGUAGAUUUAAUAUGUUGUCAUUUUAAUAUUUUAAAAAAUAUCAUCCUGAUUUUUUAAAUUAAAUUAUAUUUUUAUCAGUAAUUCAUAUCAUGUAAAUUCUUAUAUGUUAUUUGUACUAAAAAAAAUAUAUAUUAACAACUUCUAGUUAUUUUCUUAUAUUAAAAAAAAUUAAUCUGACCGUAGAGAAACACCGGACGGAAUUAACCCAACCGUUUGAUUACGUGAAGAAGCCACAUCUCUAGAAGUGUAGAUAACCUAUCAUUUUAGACGCUACAUAUCUAUGAUCAUACCUAACAAAAGACCAGUGAUGUUGAGUGAUUGCUUUACACGCAAGGAAAACAAAGAGUGUUAAAUGGACACCUCGUUUCCCUCUCCUGCCUGUACUUGUUUUGUCCUAUGCGAAUUCUAAAGACUCCCAGAACUAAGAAGUAAGAACUAUGAUAAGUUAUCAAAGACGCUUUCACACUUGAUCCCUGUCCACCUUAAGUUUAUCUCCUCCUUGAUAGUAAACACAGUUGUAGUUAUAUUUUUAAAAAUUUAAAAAUUUUUUAUUAAAAAUUAAUGUUUUUAUAUGAUUUGAAUUAUUUUGAUACGAUGAUUUCAAAAAUAAUUUUUUAAAAAUAAAAAAAUAUUAUUUUAUUACAUUUCAAUAUAAAAUAUAUUUUAAAAAAUAAUCAUAAUUACACUUUCAAACAUUCUUAAUCACCUUUCCCACUGCUAAAAUGUCUACCUCUGUUUAUGUUCUUGCUUUUAUUUUCUGAAUUAUUUCGGAUAUUUGCAAGCUUCGGCAGGCCCUAAAAUAUUUAAUUCAGUUUUAGGGUCCAUCAAUGCAAUAUUUAAUUGUUUUAUGGGGAUGCAUAAUUUUGACCUCGCGCGGUCUAGAUAACUACUGAAUUAAUCCAACUAAUAUGAAUUGGGGUACAUACAGUGUUUCAAAAAAAAAUUUAAAAUUAAUUUUUUAUAUUUUAAAAUUAUUUUAAUAUGAUAAUAUUAAAAAUAAUUUUUAAUAUUUUUACGAGUAAAAUAUAUUUUAAAAAAUAAUUAUUAUUAAAUUUUGUUGAUGUUGAUAAUAUCUAGUUUUUUGCCCCGUGCACUCAUGCUUUAUGUCAAUUUAAAUUAGUUGUUAUCACUCAUAAUUGAGGAGUUGUCAUCAAGCAAUUAAUGUAACUUGUGGAGGGUUACUAACAAUUUUUCUGAUCUUGAGCACUGUUUGGUUAGCCAAGGAAUGGGAUCCAAUUCCAAAUGAAAAAAAAAUCAAAUUUUGAUUUUAAUUAAAACUAAAUCUCCUCUUUAUUUCAAAAAUAUAUUUGUAACAGAAUAGAGUAUUUUAUUUUAUUUUAUUUGAAUUAAAAUAGGAUUAUCUUGUUUCUUGUCCAAGUAUAAUCAUUACUCGAGGGACAAUAUGAUAUUGAAAAUGCUCUGGAAGGAGAUUUUAAUUCUGCUCUCAAUUAUGAGCGAGCCAAACAUGCCCUUGUAGAGAAAACUAUACAUUAACUAGAUGCUGCCAAGAUUAACGUAGUAUAAUCAAUUAUGGGGGGGCCAGAGCCAUUGUCAGUUUUCAAUGCUCAAGUGCAGGUGGAUUUGGUACAUGUCUUAUUCUCUCCAUUACUAGGCUUCUACUGCAUAAAAUAUGCUUUGUACUGUAAGCUUUGACAAUUGCACAACUUAAAUCCCAUCCUUCGAGCCAGGAAAUUGGAAAGAGGAAGAAAUCUUUGACUUCACAAUGUGAAGCACACCCAGCUGGUUAGCAUGAACUCGAGAGCCAAGACAGAUUUUUUAUUUUUUUUAACUAUGUAUAUUUGGAUUAGCUUAAACGUAUCUCGACUAAUCACUUGAGAUUUUAAAAUUAAAAACUAAGUAAACCUCCAAUAGCUUAGAAAUUUAUGACACUCAAACUAGUAAUCUCUGAAAAAUAAAUUCAAAACCUACAUCCCAAUUCACACGACAUAUUCUUGUUCUAUAGAAUCACUUUGUUCCGCAUUGAGUAAUGGCGUGGCGCAUCUGCCAUAGCAUAUCCUUGAAAUAUGCCUCCAUCAAAAACAUGACUCAGCUUGCAUUUACUCUAUGCCUCCAUCCAAAUCAAACAAAAGAUGAACACUCAGAUUCCGAAACAUUUAACACAUUACAAGAACACGAUUCAUUCACAACAAAACUGAGAAUAAAGGUAAGUAGGCAUAACAUAUUAAAGCAGUAAUAGUACAAACUUCCUCUAGCUUUCUCACUUCCUUGAAUUUUCAAAAAAAGCAAAGGAGGGGAAAGACGGGAUUCUCAACCUUUUUCUUCUUAACUAUCUACAGGCUCUCUCUUUAUAGCAUAAACAAAGGCAAAAAACAAAAAAACAAGGCCACAGUCCUUUGCAUCAGAGCCUCAUGAGUAACGUCAGGUGACUGUUUGUUUUGUCCAUCUCUCUCAGCCUCUAUCCUCCAUCUCUGGCUUGGAAAAAACUGAAAUUCUGGAAGUAUUCACCAUAGGGUUUUGUGCUGCACAAGGCAAAGUUAGCAUCUUGGGGGCUUGAUAGGCGGUUGUAUGUACACACUCACUACACAGUGAUAAGCUAUUAGCAAUCCUUGCUUUGAGGGGUAUUUUAUUGGAUUUUUACAAGGGCAGAUUAGUCCAUUGAGACUGCCUCUCCUAGUCUCCUCCACUCAAGAUCCAUGGGUGCCCUGCAUUUCAAACAGAACACAACAGAGUGAGACUAAUGAUUCACAUACAUCAAAACAGUGAUUCAAACUCAAGAAAAGGCUAAUUUUCUGUUUGAUUCAUGAGAAAAUUGUUAAAAGCAAAACUCUUCUCAGCAUUUUAGCUGAUUAAUUCUGUGAUCAAAAGAAAACAAAUCUCAAUUUAUCAAAAGCAUCAGAGCAAGAGUAAUGAUUCACAGACAUAAAAACAGAGGAUUAUGCUAAAAAAGGGUCUUAAACCCUGUUUAUAAACAGGAAAACUGUUGCAAUAUUAUAAAAACUAUUUCAGUAUUUUAACUCAUAAACUCAUUAAUAAAAAGAAAUCCCACUUUAAAUCCAUAAAAAGAUUACCAAAAUUCAAAAACAAAACAAAAUAAAAAUAAUAAUUAAGAGCUUACAUAGAGCUUGCUCAGCUGAAAAUCUCCUAGAAACGUCUCUACAAAUCAUCUUCCUCAACAGAUCCUUAGCUUCCGGGGAAACAUUUCUAAAAACCUUAGGAGGAAACCUCAAAUUCCCUCUAACAACAGCCUGAAAAAUCUCCUCAGCAGUCUCCCCAUAAAACGGCGGAAAUCCAGCUAACAAAACAUACAAAACGACACCGGCACUCCACACAUCAACUUUCUCAUUAUAAUCUCUCCCCAUCACCACCUCCGGCGCCACAUAAUACGGGGUACCCACCACCCCACUCAACGUCCCCUCCUCCCCAACCCAAUCAGCGGACCCAAAAUCCGCCAACUUGACCCGGUUCAUCUCAUCAAACAAUAUGUUAUCCGGCUUAAUAUCUCUGUGCACAAUACCAAAUCUAUGGCAAUGCGCUAUUGCAGUCAAUAAUUGUUUCAUUAUCGACGCACACCUGCCUUCGCUUAACCCGUCAUUACUACUCUUCAUUAAACGAUCAUAAAGAGUAGACUGCUGGCAAAGCUCUAAUACCAUGUCAAGAGAAUCUUCAGUAUCGUAGACAUCGAAGAGUUGGACAAUGUUUGGAUGGGGAGACAAGAGGGACAUAAUCUUUGCUUCGUUUUGAAGACACUCACGGUCAGUUGGGUCAUUAAGGAGAUUCUUGUCGAUAGAUUUGCAAGCAAAGAAUUCGUUCUUGAUGGGUGAAAAACAACGAGAGAUCGUGCCAAAUCUUCCUCGGCCGAUCUCUUCACAGAGAUGAUAGUUGCUCUUUAAGGUAUCAUCACACAUUUUCCUUAAGGAAUGAAGGAGGUUUCGUGAGUUGGUUUUGCUCUUAAUUCUGGCUGCGUACUCUUCUGUUAUGUUUUUUUUAUAGGGAAGAGAGAAUAGUUUGGGGAAUAUUCGGUUGAGUAGUUUUGCGGCUACUUCAGAUUCACCACGUUUUUUAAGCUAGAUAUUACUUUUUAAAGAUUUGUUUUUUCGUAGAAAAAAACUAUUUUUUAAUGUUUAAUUAUAUCAUAAAAUCAAAAAUUAUUUAUUAAUAUUUUUUAAGUUAAUCUAAUUAAUAUAUAUAUAUAUAUAUAACAUUAAAUUUAAAUAUUUGAACACUUAAAAAAAAAGAGAAAUGAAAAAUAAUAUUGUAUGAAAAAAUAAUUUAUUAUAUCAUAUAUUUAUAUAAAAUUUAUUUUAUAAAAUGUAAUUAUACAUAUACCAUGAAUUGUUUAGAUACAAUAUUAUAGACAUAUAACUAUUUUUAUGUGUUUGAAGAACAUUAAAAAAUAAAUUAAUUUUUAUAGUAUCCUAAUUUUAUAAUAUAGUUUAUAUGAUUUAAAAUAUAUGAUUAUUGUAUAAUAUAACAUGUUUUGUUUUCAAAUAUAGCUUUUAGCAAUACUAUCUAAAUUAAAAUAUUACAUGCACUAGCAUAUCAAAUUAAUAUAUUUUUAUAUUGCAUAUUAAUAUAUCCUAAUAUAUUAUUUUCUAUAUAAAUAUAUAAUUAAUUUAUUAUUUUCUAAUAUUAUAUUUUAAAGUAUUAUAUAUAAAAUGAAAUAUUAUAUCACUUUAAUUUUUAGAUCAUUCUUGGAAAAUGUUUUCUAAUAUUUUAAAAUAAAAAAACAUUUUUCUUCAUUUAAAGCUUUUUUCUCUCUCUUCUAUUAACCAAUUUUGUAUAAUAUAGCGAAACAUGAGAGAAUUAAGAAAAGUGUUUCUACAAAAAUACUUUUCAACAAACCAACAAUGUUUUAAUAUAAAUUUUCUAGAAAAAAACAUAAUACUAAGAUUUUAUUAGUCAAUUUUUAUUUAAUCAAACAUUUAAUUUAAAAAAACUAUUUUUAAUUAAUACUUACAUUUUAUAUAAUAUUUUGAUUUUAUGAAUGAAUAUCUACAAAAGAUAUGAUAAGUCGAAACAAAUUCUAUACAGAACUAUAAAAUCAUGUAAUGUUUUUCAAAUUGAUUUCUCAUAAUUUGGACCCCUUAGUAAGACUUUAACUUGUAAGGAAAAAAAAUUAAGACUAUUUUUUUAUGAUAUACACAGUAAUUAACAUAGAAAAUAACACAAAAGCUUCAUGUCAAUGCCCGAAAUAAAAAAAGUAAAUAAGUGUUAAACUCUUAACAAAAUGCUUUAUUCCUUUUUUUUUUUGUGGUUCAAUGGUAUUUUUAGUCCUUGAGGUAUUUUAAUUUUUACAUAUCAAACUCAUUGGUUCCAAUAAAUAUAAUUGGGUCUUUAAACUUUUGAUUUGAAGAGAAAAUUGGUCUCAUUGUAAGGUUUGAAUAUAAAAUCUGAAUUAAAAUUGAUCCCAUCACAUUGAACACAUGGCGUAUUUCUAUUACCCACAAAAUUAAAUACCAUUAUCAAAGAGUUUUAUUUUUUAUCAAAAUAUUUUUUUUCAUUUUUUAGUUUGUUUUUUUCACUCAUCCACUAAGUAAAAAUUAUUUCCAUUAAAAGGUAUUUCGAUGAAACUUUUUUUUUCACUUUGUUAAGUAACUAAAAAAUUCAUCGAAUAUAAUAUUCAAUCAUAUAUAUAUAUAUAUAUAUAUAUAUAUAUAUGUGUGUGUGUGUGUGUGUGUGGAAAUCCUUAGAAGAAACUCAACAACACAUCUAUUAAGAUCCAAGAGAAGACAGAAAACAAUCUAAAAUUUUUAAAUUGCCUUGCAAUGAUUUGACAAAAAAUCUUAGCAUGAGAAUAUAUAACCAUGUUAAAAAAAAUUGUUUGUUUUAGGAUUGAUUUUAAUUUCCUUUUUUAUUUCCAUAUUUUUUAUCAUAAAAUUAAAGUAUAUUUUAAAGGGUGCCUAUUAAGUCAAAAUAACUAAGUUUUAAUAUUUAAUUAAGUAAAUGUUAGCUAUCAAGAUCUUAAUCAUUCAAUUUUCUUAGAAGGCUUAAAUUAAAAGAAAAAAAAUAGAUCAUUUUCAGAGCAACAUAAGAAUAUCCCAAUCCUAAUUAGAUUUAGACUAAUUACACAUGCAAUAUUGCA
rnacentral:lncRNA from 1 species